ACGAACGCUGGCGGCGUGCCUCAUCCAUGCCAGUAGAACGCUGAAGAGAGGAGCUUGCUCUUCUUGGAUGAGUUGCGAACGGGUGAGUAACGCGUAGGUAACCUGCCUUGUAGCGGGGGAUAACUAUUGGAAACGAUAGCUAAUACCGCAUAACAAUGGAUGACACAUGUCAUUUAUUUGAAAGGGGCAAUUGCUCCACUACAAGAUGGACCUGCGUUGUAUUAGCUAGUAGGUGAGGUAAUGGCUCACCUAGGCGACGAUACAUAGCCGACCUGAGAGGGUGAUCGGCCACACUGGGACUGAGACACGGCCCAGACUCCUACGGGAGGCAGCAGUAGGGAAUCUUCGGCAAUGGGGGCAACCCUGACCGAGCAACGCCGCGUGAGUGAAGAAGGUUUUCGGAUCGUAAAGCUCUGUUGUAAGUCAAGAACGGGUGUGAGAGUGGAAAGUUCACACUGUGACGGUAGCUUACCAGAAAGGGACGGCUAACUACGUG
rnacentral:rRNA from 1 species